rnacentral:rRNA from 1 species
UACGAAGGGGGCUAGCGUUGCUCGGAAUUACUGGGCGUAAAGCGCACGUAGGCGGCUUCUUAAGUCGGUGGUGAAAUCCUGGAGCUCAACUCCAGAACUGCCUUUGAUACUGGCGACCUUGAGUUCGGGAGAGGUGAGUGGAACUGCGAGUGUAGAGGUGAAAUUCGUAGAUAUUCGCAAGAACACCAGUGGCGAAGGCGGCUCACUGGCCCGAUACUGACGCUGAGGUGCGAAAGCGUGGGGAGCAAACAGG